CCCGGGAUCCCAGACUCUGUAGUUUCAUUGUCUCUUCUGCCCACCAGCGAGACUCGACCCCAGGAAUCAACAUCUGCCACGAUAGGAUCACAGGAAUCCUGGUUAAUGUUUGCUGCUAAUGACCCUCCUUAGCUCUGAUUGGUUGGCUUGAGUCAAGGACGCGCGCCUCGCCAAUGAAUGGACUCUGCUGAUUGGGUACUUGUGGGGGAGGUGCCCAACUGAAUGGUGGGAGGGGCCAGUGCCAUCCAAUCCACAUCGAGAGGCAGGGAGGGCCUUGCCAAUCAAGGGGCUCUUCGCAGAGGCGGUGAGAACAGAGACUUCCCUUAAUCCAGGGUUUUAAGGAAAUUGGCGCAUUAGUUGUUCCUCCAACCACCCUUAAGCACAGAGAGGCUGAGACGCUUGCCCAAGGUCACGUAGCUCCUAAGUGACCGCGCUGGAAUUUGAACCGUGAAAGGCUGAUUCCAGGGUCUGUGUUUUCAGCUGUAGCGUUACGCUGCCUCUCAGGAUAAAGUGCAGAGCUUAAAUCAACAGAUCCUGUUUGGUAGUGGAGUCCGGGAGGAAGUGGGGGGAAAGAGAGCCGGAACAAGGACGCUUGACCCUCACCUAACUGUGCAAAGGUGGCGAAGCUUGGCUGGCACCUGCAGUUUGACCUUGGCUCUGUGGUUACCAGUGGUGGGACCACCACAGGGUCUGAAGAAACACGUCAUAAUCAUGCCUGGUGCAGCCCCAGCUGCUGCCCGUCAGGUCGGCAUGGGGCACCCGUUUGGGGCAGUAUCUGUGACAAGUUCAAGUGCCUUUUUGAGGACACAUCUUACCAAGGACCUUGGGGUCAAUAGCCCAGACUUCCUGAUUCUCUCUGUGUGUGUUGGGGGUGUAUGAUGAUUCAGAAUCUACGAAUCUACUAUUGUUAGCAUUCGUUGCCCUGAAAGAUUUCUCUUGCCUUAAUGUACUUUUCUUGUGGCUUAAAAUUUCCGUGAGAUGUCCCUAAGCCAGCACUUUUAAGCCCAGGUGUCCUUUUGGUGGCCUUGGUGAAGUCCAUCCUGGAAAUAACUCCAGGACCAACCUUUCUUAUUUCGCUUCUUUCCUCUCUCUUCUCCCUCUCCCUCCACCAUCUGGCCUUGAAUGAGCCUGUAUUUUGCAUUUUCUGUUUGUCAGGCCCCGUGUGAACAUCCCCAGGAGAGAAAAUGAAUUCCCAGGACUUGUCCUCACCUUAACGGAGCUCCCAGUGUUUUAGAGCAGACAGAUGUGCCGUCAUCACAUAGUGGGGGCGCUCGAGGGAAGGAGGAAGGGACGUCAUCCCCUUCGGGAGGACUUUGACACGCAGACGUGAGAGCUUGCGGGUGGGAUGGGGAAGGGCAUCCUAGGCAGAGGCAAGUGCAGAGGUGUGGAGAAGUCCACGUCCAUGAACGAUAGAUGGUUUGGUUGUCCAUAUGGUGGGUCGUGGGGGUUGAGACAGGAGGCAUGGGCAGAACUCACCCAGGCCACGGAGGGUUUGUCAUGGCAGAAGGAGGACAUGUGAGUGGUCUAGGACCAAGAGAGCACAGGACUAGGAGUCCAGAGAGGUGGUCCAGCUUCUUAAGGGUUUGAGGAGGACUUAGUGAGUCAUCGUUGCACUUGGAGCCUCUGUCUUCUCAUCUGUGAGACCAGAGGCUUGUUUUGCUGGCCUGUAAGGCAUUUUCUGACUCAAACAUUUGAUGUAUUUCAGUGACAUUCCUUCCCUUGUCCUCCCUGGAAUCUCUCCCCUCUGUACAAUCCUGAGAAAAUCUCGGCCCCCAGACCCUAGCUGGCUCAGAGAUAAAUUGAUCGUCCUGACCCUGCCGUGGUGUAAUUAUGAAAGCCUGCUGUAAUUAUCAAAACAUCACUCCAAGUAUUUCAUUAUUAAAAUACCCCUAUGGCCUAUUAUUAAUUCAUUAGAUAAAUUUGGAUUAUAUCACUCAAUAAUUAAUGCGCAGGCAUGGAUCUGGGGAACUGGGCCACUUUGAGUCACGUGUCAACUGCCGGAAGCAAUGGAAGGCUGGGAGACUGAGGAGGGGGGCGGGGGGAGAGAAUGGAACGAGCAAGAGGAAAAACAGAGGCUCUGGACAGUUGAUGACCAGCUGCCCUGAGACAUCCACUUAACCAUUAGUUCAAUAAACAUGGGUUGCUUGCUACAAACUCAGAGCUUUGAGUACCUUACCAUCCAAACAUUAACUAUUAUAAGAUGAUUGCUGGAGUUUUCUUUCAUCUAUUUAUACUUUCGUUCACCCAUCUAUCCAUCCAUCUAUCCAUCCGUCCAUUCAUCCGUCCUCUGUCCAUACAUCUACCUAUCCAGUAUUCAUCUAUUUAUUGAGAACUUUCUAUAUUCCAACCAUGGAAAGCACGUGAAGGAACAAAAUAUGGCCUCUGCUCUCAGGAAGCUCACCUUCAGUGUGGGGACAGGGAACAGACAUGCGGACCAGUGCUUAUAAUAGUGUGAUACAUGUUUUGAUGGGGGAAGGCAGGGGGCUCUGGGAGCCUGACUUUGCUUUGAGGGGAGGGGUAGGAGUCAGGAAAGUUUCCAGAAGACCAGCUGGUUAGCUGAGGCAGAAGUGGGUAGAUUAGGACUUGGGGCAGCAAAGCCAGAAGAAACAGCUUAUGGACGCUGAGACUGGAAAUGACUCAGGGUGGCCUGGGGUGCUUGGCGUGUGGAGACCUGCCUGCUGAGGUCAGCGGAGUCACAUAUGGAAGCUUCUCGGCCUUGUUAGCUUUUUAGAUUCCGUUUUGAGAAUGAUGGGUGUUAAGCAGAGAGUGAAGUGAUCAGGUUUGUGCUUUGAAAAUGUUUCUCCAGCUGGAGUGUGGAGAAUCGACUGGAAGGGGCGUGGCUGGAGGCAGAGAAGCUGGGGAGAAGGUGGAGUCGAGCGGGCGUCUGUGUGAACAGUAAGGUGGCCUUUGCUCAAGUGCUGUCAGGGGACAGAGGGAAGGAGCUGGGUUGAGGAGUUAGCAUCCUGGCUAACCGGGUGAAGGAGAGGGAGUGUCGGGGGUGACGCCCAGCAUGGCCUAAGCUGGACGGUUCAGUUCAGAUCAGCAAGGUUUCAAGAGGGCCCGGGUGCUGGGAUCUGUGCAGGGAGCUAGUGGUCCCCAACUUGACAAUUCAGGGGUAUACGGAGAUCUCACUGCGGGGCGUCUGCAGGGCAGGGCAUGCCAUGGGGCAAGCUGGGUGCUGAGGCUGUAGAGGGCAGCAUCGGUCAUAUCAAUGAAGGUCUCAAUAGUCAGGCCAAGGAGAUUAGAUGCUUCUUGAGAGCAUCGGGAGCCAUGGGGGGAUUUGCAGCCAGAAACUGGCAUGCCUAGAAGCCAGAUGAAGUGAGAUGGAUAGUUCUGGUUACCAUGCUAAGGGUGAGCUGGAAGAGGUAAGCCCAGAGGCCAGGACCUAGUGAGGAAAGUACUGCAGGCAUGUAGGGGAGAGGUUGAAUGGGCCUCUCGGGAAAGCAUGGCUCCUCCACGUACUUGCUGUGUGACCUUGAGCAAGUUGCCUAACCUCUCUGUGCCUCUGGAAAAUAGAGAUCGUACUAGUUCCCAUCUUACAUGGUCGUCAUGAGGAUUAGAUGAGCAAAGACAGGAAAAGUGCUUGGAACAGGGCCUAAUACAUAACGGCCUGUUAGGGAUGGUGAUGGCCUUUGACCUCUCGGGACUCAGUUUCCUUGCCUGUACAGCAUAGAUCACAGCUAUGCCUGCGUCCGAUCCCUCCUUGUCUGGGAUGAAACGAUUUGAUAUACACAGUGUGCCUGAACAGGGUCUGGCCCGAGUGGCCGUGGAAUUUGUGGGGCCAGCUGCAUCAUGAAAACGCGAGCCCUCUUGUUCAAAAAUGAUGAAGGAUUUCAAGACGGCAGCAGAGGCACCAGGAGAAAGUUCCAGGCCAAGGUAACGGCUCGUGUGAAGGCUUCCAUGGAGCCUGGAACAGAAAAUCUGAGACGGGGGAUCGUCUCCAAGAUCCCAAACCUGAAGCUGCCAUAUCCCAGGACAUCUGCAGGACGCCUCGGAUGGAGCCCUUGCCUUAAGGACCCUCCUCCCCAACUUUGGGUGGGGGGCCCAGAUGGCCCAGAUGCGACCCUUUCUGGGCCCGAGCCCCGCGCCGGCUUUUCCAAGGACGCGCAGCCUGUGACGGGCAGAGCCUGAGACGAAGCUAGCGCUCAGGGCUCCAUCGGGACCCCGGCCGACUUGGGGCGCUCCCCAGAUGACCGGGAAUGGAAAUAAUUCAAAGGAAUUUUUUUCAAAAGCGAGCUGGCCGGCCACUUCUGUCACUAGCAUGCUUCAGAGAGCAUCUAUGGGGGGCAAUUAGAGAGGAAUAGGUCGAUAAAACCCGGCAUUUCCCUGUUAGCUUUUAAGAGUUUUGCACAACAUAUUUUAUGUGUGUUUAUAGAAAAAAAAAAAUCCCAGACCCAAAUUGAUUGAAAAAAUGUGUUGUUAUUGAAAGGGCUGAGUUGUCCUCUCCACAGAGUGUGGUGCUCGGCAAGACUUGGAAGGGGAAGGUUUCACAUAAAUAGUUGUGCCGAGUUGUUAUGGCAACUGAAAUUUGAAAAGUAAAUAGGUUUGGGGGAAAUAUUUUUCCUUGUCUCUGGAGGAGUUUUCUGCCGGGGAUCGUUUGCAAAAGGAGGAGUUAACCCAGCACCCAGUGGGCUGGGUGUAUGUUGUUGAAGGACAGAGAUGGGGUGUUCCCUGUACCGGGGGACUCUGUGUGGAUUCAUCAAGUUCUCUCCUUUCCCUGAAACGGGGGUUGAGAUGGGUUGGCACGGUCUGGGUCUUGCAGGCUGUGUGACCUUGGCCAAGUGACUUGCCCUCUCUGGGCCUCUGCUUUCCUGUCUAUUGAAUGGUUUGUUUGAGACGGACAAUCACGGGGGCGCCGGGCUGGCGCAGUCGCUUGGGCGUCCGACUCUUGAUCUGGGCUCAGGUCAUGAACUUGGUUUGUGAGUUCGAGCCCCGCAUCGGGCUCCACGCUGAUGGCGCAGAGCCUGCUUGGGAUUCUGUCUCUCCUUCUCUCUGCCCCUCCCCUGCUUGUCCCCUCUGUGUGGUGGGAACUCCGUGUUCCAGACAGGAAAGCGCUUCUUGGCUUUGGACAAGGCUGUGAUGAAGAAUAAGCACUAUCGCGUGUUGGCCUCUUUGGGGAAGAGCUGUCUGUGCCCAACGGCGUUUGAGCCUCACAGUGGCCAAGGCCAGAUUGGUGGUGGGUAGGAGAAGCCCGCCCACGGUUGUAUAAACUGAGGCACGGUCAGAUGAGGCGGCUGGUUUCAAGCCACGUGGCUGGCAAGAGAGGAACCUUCUGAUGUCGUGAACUGCCUGGCUCCGGGGUGGGCGCCCAGGAAUGUAGUGAGCUCCCCACCCCCAGGGGCAUUCAAGCGCAUAGGCUGUGCUUAGGAGAAGGUUCUGUAAGGUGGAGGCUGAGCCGGAUGGCUCCAAAAGACCUCCAGAAACCUCCACAUGGGGGUCUGAAGAGUGCCGGUUGGAUCAGGGAGUCAGAUCUCGGGGACUGACUUCGUUCUGGGCCCUUUGCUCUCCUCCACCCUCCACCGAGUCCCCAGCGCAGGGCAGGCGACAGAAAGAAAUGGUUGGAAACUGUCCCCCGCCCCAUAGUGCGGUCAGAAAGACGGCGUGUCCCCGCCAAGAACAUAGUGUGUGCGUGCGUAGGUAUCCUUGUGCGUGCGUGCGUGUCUGCCCACGCCUGCCUUUGCGUGUGCCUGUGAGUGGGCAGGUGUGUGCACGCGCUCGUGCGUGUGUGCCCUGAGUGUGUGCUGCCAUGCGUCCACACGCAUGCCUCGGUGUGUAAAAAUUACCCCGCUUCCGUCACCCCUGUCAGGAUCACCCGGGGCCUCUGCUGGGAUCCAAGGACCCCGCAACUCCCCGGGAUGAGACUGGGAGGACCCUGCUUAAGAGUCAGGACCCUGGAGCCACCCUGGUUCAAAUCCUGGCUUUGCUCCUGUCUGUUGGGGUUCAAACCAGUGGCUCUGGCUAGGUGGCCCCUAAACCUUAGUUCCUCGCUGGUGAGCCGGGGUGUUAUCUGCGUGCACACACCAGGCUGUUGCCAAAGUUCGGUGAUGUCUGUCUACAAGGGCCACCAUCCUUCUCCCUAGGCUGGCGUCCUAAAGACAUUUGCCUGCACAGGGCCCUGAUGGCUGCAGGGAGGGUGGCACAGCACCAGAUGCCUGGGGCAGGUACGGACAUGCUCCUCAGGGCUCAGAGACAUCCGGCUCCCAGCAUCUUCCAGCAGAGUCCUGGCCCACUACCAAGCUGCCGCGUGCCUGUCACCCUGCCGUGGAGGGGAGAGAGAAACAGCCAGAGGAACAGACAAAAAGUGGAGACAAGAAAGACAGAAAGAGAAGGAACACACUCUCAACAGCUCAAGGUGAGCUAUGUUGGGAAGUGGUCCGAGCGUGGCCUCCCAGAACCCACCUGCUGUCCCUGGCCAGCUGAAUGACCCCUUGGAGGGACUCCUUGCUCUGAACCUUCAUCUCGUCCGCAGCCUGAGGAUGGAGGGACGCUGCAGAGCACUAUGGGGAAGUGUGUGUGGGCGCCUCCUCACCAGGUCUGGGUUCCUCCAAAGAUAAUCCUCCAGUAGGUGGGUCCCAGGCUGCCCUGGGAGACCACCCCCAAAAUAUUGGGGAGUGGAGACCAGGAGUUGCUUGCCCUGAACGUGUUUGUUCUUUCUUACUAAUGAAACUCCCAAUUUUUCACCGGGUUCGUGACCUUCCAAAAUAAAGACUCUCUUUCUCAACCUCCCUUGUAGCUAGGUGUAGCCGGGUGACUAAGUUUUGGUCACUGAGAUGUAAGCAGAGAACAGCUGCAAGGAAACCUGUUUGAAACACAGCUGGUAGGUACCCCUGUGCCUCUUCUUCCUCCUUGCUUGCUUCUGGCUGGCCGCAAGGUGAACAUGAUGGCCGGUGCUCAAGCAGCCAUAUUGGGCCAUGAGGAAAAGGUUGUAUACCGAAAGUGGACUGCCUCCCCCUGGACUUCUGUUAUGGCAGUGAGAAAGAACCAUCAAUCUUGUUGAAGCCACUGUUAUUUGACUUCUUUCUCCGUCAAUCUUCAUCCUGACGGAUAAAAUAAGGAACAGGUAAUUUCUCUGAUCUGGUUUCCCUUCUAGAAUAAGGGAAACUGAGCU